rnacentral:sRNA from 12 species
UUCAUGCCGUAACAUGAAGUUUUGCAUAUCCCGCUGCUAGCGGGACAGUGAACUGAAUGUGGCUAU